CCACUAUUAAGGGAAUAGGGUAGCAUUUAGUCCACUAUUAAGGGAAUAGGGUAGCAUUUAGUCCACUAUUAAGGGAAUAGGGUAGCAUUUAGUCCACUAUUAAGGGAAUAGGGUAGCAUUUAGUCCACUAUUAAGGGAAUAGGGUAGCAUUUAGUCCACUAUUAAGGGAAUAGGGUAGCAUUUAGUCCACUAUUAAGGGAAUAGGGUAGCAUUUAGUCCACUAUUAAGGGAAUA